AGAGGAAGGAGAAGUCGUAACAAGGUUUCCGUAGGUGAACCUGCGGAAGGAUCAUUGUGGAAAUUGAACGGAAGAAUGACCCGCGAAUCGUCGUUGCGUACCAGGGAGAGCUCGUGAGCGCCUGAUGCUCAUGCGGCUCGUGUCGUGUCGGCGUGGAUGGUACUCGAUUGAGACCAGCGUCGCAUCGACGAACAAACAACGUCAGCACGGAUCGUGCCAAGGAGCUGCAUGGAGGGAAUCGUUGUCCCCCGCCUUUGAUUGUCUUCGAUUCGGGACGGGAGGCAGGGGGAUAUACGCAAUCUCUACUCAAGUCUAAAUGACUCUCGACAACGGAUAUCUCGGCUCUUGCAUCGAUGAAGAACGUAGCGAAAUGCGAUACUUGGUGUGAAUUGCAGAAUCCCGCGAACCAUCAAUUCUUUGAACGCAAGUUGCGCCCGAAGCCAUUCGGCCGAGGGCACGCCUGCCUGGGCGUCGUGAAUCCCCUUGCCCCUUGGCACCCGUGUUCAUGCAUGCGCAUUGACGGGGAUAUGCUCGGGCGCAGAGUGUGGUCUCCCGUGCGAUCGGCAUGCCGAGGUGCGGUUGGCCGAAAAUCGGGCAUUGCGGUGACGGGCACCACGGCGUUCGGUGGAUCGAAUGUGAUUGGCUGCGCCGUGGUCUCGGCAUGCUGCGGGCUCCGGACUUUGACAAUCCCCGAGUGCGAUCCCAGGUCAGGCGGGAUUA
rnacentral:rRNA from 1 species